UACGAAGGGGGCUAGCGUUGUUCGGAAUUACUGGGCGUAAAGGGCACGUAGGCGGUGUGUCAAGUCAGGCGUGAAAGCCCCGGGCUCAACCUGGGAACAGCGCUUGAGACUGGCACGCUCGAGUUCGGGAGAGGAUGGUGGAAUUCCCAGUGUAGAGGUGAAAUUCGUAGAUAUUGGGAAGAACACCGAUGGCGAAGGCAGCCAUCUGGACCGACACUGACGCUGAGGCGCGAAAGCGUGGGGAGCAAACAGG
rnacentral:rRNA from 1 species